CUUUUUCGGAGAGUUUGAUCCUGGCUCAGGACGAACGCUGGCGGCGUGCCUAAUACAUGCAAGUCGAGCGGACAGAAGGGAGCUUGCUCCCGGAUGUUAGCGGCGGACGGGUGAGUAACACGUGGGUAACCUGCCUGUAAGACUGGGAUAACUCCGGGAAACCGGAGCUAAUACCGGAUAGUUCCUUGAACCGCAUGGUUCAAGG
rnacentral:rRNA from 1 species